CCAAUAGCGUAUAUUAAAGUUGUUGCAGUUAAAAAGCUCGUAGUUGAAUUUUGGAUCUGACCAAGCGGUCCGCCUUUGGUGAGUACUGUUUGUGUCGGGUCUAUCCUUCUGGUGAGCUGGUAUGCCCUUUAUUGGGUGUGUCAGGGAACCAGGACCAUUACCUUGAAAAAAUUAGAGUGUUUAAAGCGGGCAUUAGCUUGAAUAGAUUAGCAUGGAAUAAUAGAAUAGGACGUUGUGGUUCUAUUUUGUUGGUUCUAGGACCACCAUAAUGAUUAAUAGGGAUAGUUGGGGGCAUUAGUAUUCAAUUGUCAGAGGUGAAAUUCUUGGAUUUAUUGAAGACUAACUACUGCGAAAGCAUUUGCCAAGGAUGUUUUCAUUAAUCAAGAACGAAAGUUAGGGGAUCGAAGACGAUCAGAUACCGUCGUAGUCUUAACCAUAAACUAUGCCGACUAGGAAUCGGGCGACGUUAUUUUAAUGACUCGCUCGGCGCCUUAUG
rnacentral:rRNA from 1 species